AGGGGCAGCAGGGGUGUAGCAAUACACUCGCUGGCGACCGGCAAACGGGUGCGGAACACGUACGCAACUUACCCAAAACUGAGGGAUAGCCCGGGGAAACCCGGAUUAAUACCUCGUAACAUAAUGAAGUGGCAUCACUUUAUUAUUAUAGCUCCGGCGGUUUUGGAUGGGCGUGCGCCUGAUUAGAUAGUUGGCGGGGUAACGGCCCACCAAGUCUGCGAUCAGUAACUGGUGUGAGAGCACGACCAGUCACACGGGCACUGAGACACGGGCCCGACUCCUACGGGAGGCAGCAGUAAGGAAUAUUGGUCAAUGGACGCAAGUCUGAACCAGCCAUGCCGCGUGAAGGAUGAAGGUCCUCUGGAUUGUAAACUUCUUUUAUAUGGGAAGAAAUUCCCGCAUUCUUGCGGGAUUGACGGUACCAUAGGAAUAAGCACCGGCUAACUCCGUGCCAGCAGCCGCGGUAAUACGGAGGGUGCAAGCGUUAUCCGGGUUCACUGGGUUUAAAGGGUGCGUAGGAGGGCAGGUAAGUCAGUGGUGAAAUCUCCAAGCUUAACUUGGAAACUGCCGUUGAUACUAUCUGUCUUGAAUACCGUGGAGGUGAGCGGAAUAUGUCAUGUAGCGGUGAAAUGCUUAGAUAUGACAUAGAACACCAAUUGCGAAGGCAGCUCGCUACACGAAUAUUGACUCUGAGGCACGAAAGCGUGGGGAUCAAACAGGAUUAGAUACCCUGGUAGUCCACGCCCUAAACGAUGGAUACUCGACAUACGCGAUACACAGUGUGUGUCUGAGCGAAAGCAUUAAGUAUCCCACCUGGGAAGUACGACC
rnacentral:rRNA from 1 species